rnacentral:rRNA from 1 species
GAUGAACGCUGGCGGCGUGCCUAAUACAUGCAAGUCGAGCGAACAGACGAGGAGCUUGCUCCUCUGACGUUAGCGGCGGACGGGUGAGUAACACGUGGAUAACCUACCUAUAAGACUGGGAUAACUUCGGGAAACCGGAGCUAAUACCGGAUAAUAUAUUGAACCGCAUGGUUCAAUAGUGAAAGACGGUUUUGCUGUCACUUAUAGAUGGAUCCGCGCCGCAUUAGCUAGUUGGUAAGGUAACGGCUUACCAAGGCAACGAUGCGUAGCCGACCUGAGAGGGUGAUCGGCCACACUGGAACUGAGACACGGUCCAGACUCCUACGGGAGGCGGCAGUAGGGAAUCUUCCGCAAUGGGCGAAAGCCUGACGGAGCAACGCCGCGUGAGUGAUGAAGGUCUUCGGAUCGUAAAACUCUGUUAUUAGGGAAGAACAAAUGUGUAAGUAACUAUGCACGUCUUGACGGUAUCUAAUCAGAAAGCCACGGCUAACUACGUG